rnacentral:tRNA from 1 species
GCCUUCGUGGUGUUGUGGUCAGCACGCUCGACGCAUAACCGAGAGGUCCGUGGUUCGAUUCCCGGCGAAGGCG